rnacentral:pre_miRNA from 1 species
ACAUUUGGCAUGAUCCAAAGCCCACUGAAAUCAAUGGGAGUCUUUCCAUGGACUUCAAUGGGCUUUGGGUCAGGCCCUAUGA